AUACGGAGGGUGCAAGCGUUACUCGGAAUCACUGGGCGUAAAGCGCGCGCAGGCGGCUGAUUAAGUCAGUUGUGAAAGCCCUGGGCUCAACCUAGGAACUGCAUCUGAUACUGGUCGUCUAGAGUUUAAGAGAGGGAAGUGGAAUUCCAGGUGUAGCAGUGAAAUGCGUAGAUAUCUGGAGGAACAUCAGUGGCGAAGGCGACUUCCUGGCUUAAAACUGACGCUGGGGUGCGAAAGCGUGGGUAGCGAACGGGAUUAGAUACCCUAGUAGUCC
rnacentral:rRNA from 1 species